rnacentral:rRNA from 1 species
AGUGAACGCUGGCGGUAGGCCUAACACAUGCAAGUCGAACGGCAGCACAGUAAGAGCUCGCUCUUACGGGUGGCGAGUGGCGGACGGGUGAGGAAUACAUCGGAAUCUACUUUUUCGUGGGGGAUAACGUAGGGAAACUUACGCUAAUACCGCAUACGACCUACGGGUGAAAUCAGGGGAUCUUCGGACCUUGGGUGAUUGAAUGAGCCGAUGUCGGAUUAGCUAGUUGGCGGGGUAAAGGCCCACCAAGGCGACGAUCCGUAGCUGGUCUGAGAGGAUGAUCAGCCACACUGGAACUGAGACACGGUCCAGACUCCUACGGGAGGCAGCAGUGGGGAAUAUUGGACAAUGGGCGCAAGCCUGAUCCAGCCAUACCGCGUGGGUGAAGAAGGCCUUCGGGUUGUAAAGCCCUUUUGUUGGGAAAGAAAAACAGCAGGUUAAUACCCCGCUGUUCUGACGGUACCCAAAGAAUAAGCACCGGCUAACUUCGUG